rnacentral:rRNA from 1 species
GCAGCAGCCGCGGAAAUACAGAGGGUGCGAGCGUUAAUCGGAUUUACUGGGCGUAAAGCGUGCGUAGGCGGCUUCUUAAGUCGGAUGUGAAAUCCCUGAGCUUAACUUAGGAAUUGCAUUCGAUACUGGGAAGCUAGAGUAUGGGAGAGGAUGGUAGAAUUCCAGGUGUAGCGGUGAAAUGCGUAGAGAUCUGGAGGAAUACCGAUGGCGAAGGCAGCCAUCUGGCCUAAUACUGACGCUGAGGUACGAAAGCAUGGGGAGCAAACAGGAUUAGAGACCCCCGUAGUCCCUGUCUCUUAUAC